GUUGAGUAAACUCUCCCACUCACGAAAACAUUCUAUAGCAAAAUUAAUGCAUUUGGACUGAGUUUGAAUCGAAUCUUCCUGGCUAAGAGCCAGAUUCUGACUACAUCCGUCAGCUAUGAUUAUUGGGUUCCCCAGCCCAUAGCAAAUUGAACAUGGGUUGGGGCUGCUAAGGGCAGCUACUCCGAGGACAAUAGAAGAGAAGCCACGAGUUAGAGUUAGACUGCUGGAAAACCUAUGUGAGAGAUAAAGGAACUCCAGCAAAUAUACUUAUUGGGAAUAUUUGGCAUAAAACCAGAGUCCUACACAGUUAUUUGGAUGAAAUGCUUAUUUCUUUUUUAACAUAAGCAUUGACUGGAAAUAUUGGUUAUUCUGUCUGAUAUUACAUGAAGGUCAGAUGCCCUCCAUGCAACCAUGAGGUCGGAUGGCAGUUUGAUGCUGAACCAGCAAACAAGGCUUCCUCUGCCACUUGCUACUCCUUUGUACUCGUUCCACCUGGCAGUCUGAGGAACACAAACUAAAAUGCAGAACUGCCUCGAUGCGUUUGAGAACAUUCUGUCCUUAUUGUGAAUGCUGACUUGCUCCAAUCAACACAUUUCUUUAACUCCUUUAAAACCAGCUUGUUAGAGCUGUCUACAAUGCCGUGAGGUUCCAACUUCCUCUGAUUAAUUAGGAGGCUCAGAAAUGUCAUAUACUUGUUAUGUACCUCCUACAUGCCUGGUCCUCUGCUAGGAGUUGAGGGUAAAGCAGUGAAUUGGACAAAUAAAAUAGAAACCAGUAUCCACAAGGGCACAGUGAUGGCCUACUCAGCAUGAAACUAUGAGUAUAAAAACCUUUAUGAUGACCUACCUCCACUUGGAUCAAUGAAGA
rnacentral:lncRNA from 1 species